GGUAGCGGCGGAGCGGCGGGGCGGGUAGUGCGGGGGGUGCAAGGGGUGUUGGGGAGAGAUGGGCGGAAAGCGAGUGUAGGCGGCCUUGUAAGGCUGGUGUGAAAGCCCGGGGCUUAGCCCCGGAAGUGCACUGGAAACUGCGAAGCUCGAGUACCGGAGAGGAGGGUGGAAUUCCUGGUGUAGCGGUGAAAUGCGUAGAUAUCAGGAGGAACACCGGUGGCGAAGGCGGCCCUCUGGACGGAUACUGACGCUGAGACGCGAAAGCGUGGGGAGCAAACAGGAUUAGAUACCCCAGUAGUC
rnacentral:rRNA from 1 species